rnacentral:rRNA from 1 species
UACAGGGGGUGCAAACGUUGCUCGGAAUUAUUGGGCGUAAAGCGCGCGCAGGCGGCUUCGCGCGUCCGACGUGAAAGCCCCCGGCUCAACCGGGGAGGGUCGUUGGGUACGGCGGAGCUUGAGGGCGGUAGAGGUGGUGGAAUUCCCGGUGUAGUGGUGAAAUGCGUAGAGAUCGGGAGGAACACCUGUGGCGAAGGCGGCCAACUGGGCCGACCCUGACGCUGAGGCGCGAAGGCGUGGGGAGCGAACAGG